rnacentral:rRNA from 1 species
AUACGAAGGUGGCAAGCGUUGUUCGGAUUUACUGGGCGUACAGGGAGCGUAGGCGGUUGGGUAAGCCCUCCGUGAAAUCUCCGGGCCUAACCCGGAAAGUGCGGAGGGGACUGCUCGGCUAGAGGAUGGGAGAGGAGCGCGGAAUUCCCGGUGUAGCGGUGAAAUGCGUAGAGAUCGGGAGGAAGGCCGGUGGCGAAGGCGGCGCUCUGGAACAUUUCUGACGCUGAGGCUCGAAAGCGUGGGGAGCAAACAGGAUUAGAUACCCUGGUAGUCCACGCCUUAAACGAUGGAUACUAAGUGUCGGCGGGUUACCGCCGGUGCCGCAGCUAACGCAUUAAGUAUCCCGCCUGGGAAGUACGGCCGCAAGGUUGAA